rnacentral:lncRNA from 1 species
GCACACAGACACUUAAUUGCCCAGAGUGCUGCAAGUCUUACCCAAGAUUAAACACGUCAUACCUAGCAGUUGCUGUGAUCUAGACCCUCAGGACCUAUAGAUGAGUUCCCACCUUCUCAGCAAGGCGAGCCUCCCAGCAGCAUUCCGAACAACCUUUUGCAUUAAUGCAGGGUUAGAGGAAGAGCCGCUCCAUGUGCCCCCUCCUGGCUGCAGCCCCACUGCAGCCUCCAACCAGGGGCAAGGAUGGCCACCACAAUUUUCAAUGCACUCACAGUAACAUAAAACAAAAUUAUGUUCAGACCAAAUGUGUCAAUGUUCAUGGUUUCAGAAGGAAAGCAUUAAAAUAAAGAUAACGAGAAUUUGAAAGUUCACCAGAAAGUCAGAAACAAGGCUACUAUUCCUUUGCUACCAGGAAGUGAAUACCCAACAUCCAGAAUGUGAAACAGAAGAAAGCUGUAGGAUUGAGGAACAGCAAAGAAGAGGAUGUGAAGUAGAAUCACAAAAGGCUGAGAAAGAGAAGGAGACUUGUGUACACCUUGAUAUGGAAUGGAAGAAUAUCAUUUUCUCUUUUUCUUGGCCUCCAGAAAAGAAAACCCAGUUCAAUCUGUGUAACCCAAAGGAUGAGAGUUAAAUCCAAUGUAAUUAAUUGAAAUUAUUUUAUUUGCAACUGUAAUUUUGCGUUGAGCUUUUUUCUAGUGCUAAAGACUAGACCUAAUGAGCAACCCUUCUAAUUGGUUUAGCAAAAAGGGAUAUGUGCAUACCUUUGAAUUUGAUAUAAUUGCCACAAUGUUUAAACCCCUUGUCUGCAGGAGUUUUGCUAGAAAAUAUUUAAUUCUUGACCUUCCUGAUGAUCCAAGUUUGUU